rnacentral:miRNA from 1 species
UGUGUGUGUGUGUGUGUGUGUGUGUGUGUACACGCGCGCACACACACACACACACACACACA